UACGGAGGGUGCGAGCGUUGUCCGGAAUCACUGGGCGUAAAGGGCGCGUAGGUGGCUCGUGAAGCGUGCGGUGAAAGUCCGAGGCUCAACCUCGGAUCGGCCGUGCGGACUCGCGGGCUCGAGCGUUGUAGAGGCGGGUGGAAUUCCGGGUGUAGCGGUGGAAUGCGUAGAGAUCCGGAAGAACACCGGUGGCGAAGGCGGCCCGCUGGGCAACUGCUGACACUGAGGCGCAACAGCGUGGGGAGCAAACAGG
rnacentral:rRNA from 1 species